GAACAUCUUACUCCUGAUGACCGGGUGCCCAAACCCAGUGUAGGAGGGACCCUUGGUGUGAGAGGUCACCUGUGGCUUCUCAGGCAGGGCGGAGAAGGAGCUGACUCUAGUUGCAAAGGCAGCAGCACAGGAAACUGAAUACAGGACGAUACUUGUGAGGGCAUGAAAUAUCUUAUGGGAAACUAUUACCAUCGUUGCUGCCAAGGACCCUGUCCAUCAAGCAACAGGGGAUGAUCUAAAUUAGCACUGUAUGAACUUUCUAAUAAACAUGUCCUGUGACAGCCUAGAAGACGUGGCAUGACCUUUCUUAGGAUUAGAGAAGACCUCGGAUAUGGGAUAUUCUUGUCUCAUUGACUCGUAAAAAAGACUGUCAUUUUUGGAGAACAAAUUACAGAGAGAAGAAUGGACCUCCAAACAGCUUUAGGGAAGACAAACAGAGAAGGCGUGAAGCAGUUACGGCAAUGGUUUGGAGUCAGCAGGGCAAAGAGAACACCAAGAAGAGGCCAGUAGGCCAGCAGGUCCAUACAGCCGGGAGCAGUGUGGUCUGGGAAGUGUAGCCAGUAGCCAGUUACUGCAGCCUCCGGAUGUCCCUAUGAGCAGUCCAGGCAGCUGGUCACCUGGAGUCCACGUAAUUAGAGGCAAGGGGUCAGGGCUCCACGGCAGUAUGUGUUGAUCUUAG
rnacentral:lncRNA from 1 species